GCAUCGAUGAAGAACGCAGCGAAAUGCGAUAAGUAAUGUGAAUUGCAGAAUUCAGUGAAUCAUCGAAUCUUUGAACGCACAUUGCGCCCCUUGGUAUUCCGAGGGGCAUGCCUGUUCGAGCGUCAUUAUAACCACUCAAGCCUCGGCUUGGUCUUGGGGUUCGCGGUCUCGCGUCCCUUAAAAUCAGUGGCGGUGCCGUCUGGCUCUAAGCGUAGUAAUUCUCUCGCUAUAGGGUCCCGGCGGUUGCCUGCCAGAACCCCCCAUUUUUUUACGGUUGACCUCGGAUCAGGUAGGGAUACCCGCUGAACUUAAGCAUAUCAAUAAGCGGAGGA
rnacentral:misc_RNA from 1 species